AGCUGUGGAGUGGGCGGCAUGAGCUCGCUAGGGUCGCAGCACUUGGACACGCGAUCAUCGCGCGAUACACACGCUCUUCCCAAAUGCCUCACCGGUUGCAGCUAUUUCCUCGCGACGCGUGCCUUUCGCGCGAUCGUGCGUACGACUUAUCGUGAGGGAGGUCAAGGGGAGUCCGGCAGACCUGUCGAACCAUUCGGUACUUAUUCUGCUGCGUUCUUUUUGUCAAGGUGCUCCUUGCCGCGGCUCUUUCCCAUUGUGACUCUGCCGCCUUGAAUCGCGACUCGGGUAUAAUACAGUGCGUGGACUACUGCUUUCGUGAACUGACACCGUGUGUGACGCUGUUCUCUGUGAGACUGUGGUGAAGUAUUAAAGAAGAUUCUUCGAGAAGAUAGACUGGUUAUAAAUUGAUCGAUUGCCUGGCCAUGGAUUGGAGACUCGGAUUGCUGUUGUUGACCUGUCUUCUUGUUGACGGCACGGUAGCGUUGAGGAUGCUGGAGCUGGUGGUCCCCCAGCAUGUGGUCCGUGGUCAGAACAUCAAGUUGGAGUGCAACUUUAACCUGGACGGUGAGACGUUAUACUCGGUAAAAUGGUACAAAGACGGGAACGAGUUCUACCGAUACGUGCCGCAGAACAUGCCGCCUGUGCUCGUCUUUCAGCUGCCAGGUGUCACGGCGAACAUUCACAAUUCGACCGAGAGAUCGGUCGUUCUCUAUUCCGUGAACCUAAUGAGCACCGGAAGAUACAGAUGCGAGGUGUCAGCCGAGGCGCCAUCCUUCCAAACGGUCUCCGAUCACUCGGACAUGCUGGUAGUGGCCCUACCGGAAGACGGGCCCAUUAUCACCGGAAGGCCAGGAAGGCAUCGUUAUCAAGUCGGUGACGUGGUACGGUUCAAUUGCACUUCGGCGAAGUCUAAACCAGCUGCCAUGCUCAGCUGGUUCAUCAACGGGGACCCUGUCGACACGCAAUACUUGAGAGGGCCCCACAUCACUGAGGUGGAUCGCGAGGGUCUGGAAACCGCCGUGCUAGGUCUGGAGUUCCGUCUGCGUACGAAGCACUUCAAGAGGGGGGACCUGAAGAUCAAAUGCCUGGCAACGAUAGCGACCGUAUAUUGGAAAUCGAACGAGCUCAGCAUAGAGGGUGAAAGGCCCCUCAAGAUGCCGGUCAUGGAGAGCAGGGAGACAAGGGCGCAAGGCCAUACGCACGCGGAACAUAUCUUAGGAGAAAUAUGAGAACCGCUGUUAUACUUCAGUUAACUCUUGGACAGCGAAUUUGUGGAUGGCGAUGGCUAGGUCAACUUUGAUACGGACAUUUCACGUUUAUACUCUCUAAUGAUAUACUUGCGUGUUAUCGUUUUAUCAGAUUAUAUAUAAACAGUUUUAUUUCUGGGAUAAAUAUUAUUAUUACGUUGGGAUUUUCAUCCCCUAGGAGAGGAUUCCUAACCUAUAAACGAUCCUUUACCACCAAGACAUCAAUCGUUAAGAUCGAUGCCAAGGAAAAAGGACCGUCUGUCCACGAGGAAAUAUCGAGACGAAAUAUCGUUAGGAAAAACUGUGACAACGAAUCAGAGACACGUUCGUUUGCCGACAAUUUGCUGACUUAUGGUCACAUGCCUGGCGAACGUCAGUAAACGUUUGUGAAGCGGAAGCAGCAUGUUAGCGCCGUGUAUCUUCCUGCUGAUGACGAGUAUAUUGAUUCUACGAUAAGAAGGACACACACAACAUGGUGCCGCGUCCUUUUUUGUGCUCAUCCUUUUCAGGCCUCCAAAAACAAGUGUUAUGGAGACCACUGGUGUACUAAAUUAUCCGUGUUGUUUCUAUUUUUUAUAAUCGCAGUUAGUGGAGUUAGCGACGAUAUAGGCGAGAGAAUAUACUUAACAGAGAUAUACGUCAGUAUGUUAGAGAUUAGAAAAUGGGUGGACGCAUAAAUUCGUACUUACUGAAUCGGGUGUGUAAAUCUCCCUGCAUCUUGCACGGAUUUUUUAUACUUUCCAUGUUUCGUUAUCUUAUAGCUUAUAGUCGUUUUUAACACUAUAACGAAAGGCUAAUUUCGAAAUUGACGAACAAUGGUUUUUUUGUACUUGUAGAAAAAUUUAGUAACUUUAAAUAUAUGAAAAACAAAAAGAUUAAAGUAAUAAAUAGAUUUAGUUAUCUAACCCAAAAUGCAAGAUGACCACUACAAAUGCACAAAAAUUCUUGUCCGAUUGCAUUUUUAAUUUCGACAAUAAUAUAAUAUUGAUUGUCAAUAUAAAAGUAAUGAAACGUAAUAAAAGUAAUUAAAUCUUGUAUGAUGUUAAUAGAAUUUAAAAAGUAACACAAAGUUAACGCUCAUAUGGCGGAGGUAAUGUCGUGUCUGCGGCGUCAUAGUGUUAAAUCCCAGAUUCUCAAGCAAGAUGCAAAGAGAUGUAUAGUCUCGUUAAAAAAAACAUGAUCAUGGUUAUUUAAAGAAGCUAUUCAAUCGUUGAUACAACACAGAGAGCAGAGUUUACAAAUCUACGUUCAUCUCAGCAUCUUCAAACUCUCGAGAGUGCGAAAUUGCAGCCCUUACGUACUUCUUUUCCUCUCCUUCAUCUCUUACUAUUAAAAAAAAUCGCAAGCGUAAACGAACGAUUAAUAAUCAACCGGAAUGAAUGAAUGAAUGAACGAACGAGCGAACGAACGCCGAGUAUAUUUAUAUUCUAAUUGUACACGAGUGUUUCUAUCGUCCAGUCACGCGAGAGAACAAGCAAAGAUUUUAGCCCCGGUGAGAGUGUUCUCUUUCGUCGUAGCUUUUAUCAAUCUAGUCGCUAUUAAUCAACAGAGAUAUGUUACCCUAGAAGUUAUUGUGAGCCGUAUGUAUGCGCGUGAAUGUAGAGUGUGUUUUACCAAAGAACAUUUUGCGCUAAAUAACAUUCCUAAUUGUUAAUUACAAGUGAAAUACACGGGGUGGUAUAAAAAGAAACCACUACCUGCAUAUCGUAUUUUACUGUAAGAGCACUUUGUACAUAUGUACAUAAAUUGAACCGACUUUUAUCUCUAACUUAACGUUCUGAUAAAUAAAGCGGCGUUUACUUCAAUG